UAGGGAAUAUUAGUUAAUGUGCGAAAGCGCGAACUAGCAACGCCGCGUGUGCGAUGAAGGCCGUCGGGUUGUAAAGCACUUUUCUAAGGGACGAGGAAGGACGGUACCUUGGGAAUAAGCAUCGGCUAACUACGUGCCAGCAGCCGCGGUAAAACGUAGGAUGCAAGCGUUAUCCGGAUUUACUGGGCGUAAAGCGCGUGUAGGCGGUUCGGUAAGUUGGAUGUGAAAGCUCCUGGCUUAACUGGGAGAGGUCGUUCAAUACUGCCGAGCUUGAGGAUGGUAGAGGGAGGUGGAAUUCCGAGUGUAGUGGUGAAAUGCGUAGAUAUUCGGAGGAACACCAGUGGCGAAAGCGGCCUCCUGGAGCAUUUCUGACGCUCAGACGCGAAAGC
rnacentral:rRNA from 1 species